rnacentral:rRNA from 1 species
UGCAUGGUAAAUACAUAGCCAUGUGGAGGAAACCCUCUGAACUGAAACAUCUAAGUAGGAGGAGGAAGAGAAAGAAACAUCGAUUUCCUAAGUAGCGGCGAGCGAAAGGGAAAGAGGCCAAACCAGAGAUAGCAAUAUCUUUGGGGUUGUGGACUGCAUAAUUGAUUCAAUAUUUUUAGCAGAAGUGUAUGGGAAGACACACCAUAGUAGGUAAUAGUCCUGUAAGCGAAAAGGAUAUUGACAAGGCAGGAUCCAGAGUACCACCGGACACGAGGAACCCGGUGGGAAGCCGGGGGGACCACCCCCCAAGCCUAAAUACUACCUGAUGACCGAUAGUGAAAAGUACAGUGAUGGAAAGUUGAAAAGAACCCCGGAAGGGGAGUGAAAAAGAAUCUGAAACCCUAUGUUUACAAGCUGCUAAAGCACUAUAUAUGUGCGAUAGCGUACUUUUUGUAGAACGGUCCGGCGAGUGUAUGUUGCAAGCGAGGUUAAGGUGUUAAGCACUGAAGCCGAAGGGAGACCGAGUGUGAAUAGCGCGUACAGUUUGCAGUAUACGACCCGAAACCGGGUGACCUAACCAUGGACAGGUUGAAGUGGAAGUAAAAUUCCAUGGAGGACCGAACCCACGUCUGUUGAAAAAGGCGGGGAUGAGCUGUGGUUAGCGGUGAAAUUCCAAUCGAACUCGGAUAUAGCUGGUUCUCAUCGAAAUAGCUUUAGGGCUAGCCUCAGGAUAGUUUAGCGGAGGUAAAGCACUGAAUGGGCUAGGGGGCUUCACGGCUUACCGAACCCUAUCAAACUCUGAAUGCCGCAUAAAUGUUUCCUGGGAGUCAGACUGCGUGAGAUAAGUUUCGUAGUCAAAAGGGAAAGAGCCCAGACCUACAGCUAAGGUCCCUAAAUGAAUUUAAGUGGAAAAGGAUGUGCAGUUGCGUAGACAACUAGGACGUUGGCUUAGAAGCAGCCACUCAUUUAAAGAGUGCGUAAUAGCUCACUAGUCGAGUGAUUGUGCGCCGAAAAUGUAACGGGGCUAAAAUUCAUACCGAAGCUUAGGAAUGAUAGUAAUAUUGUUGGUAGAUGAGCGUUGUGUAAGUCUGCGAAGCUACACCGAAAGGAGUAGUGGAGAUAUCACAAGUGAGAAUGCCGGAAUGAGUAGCGAGAAUUAUGUGAGAAUCAUAAUGGUCGAAAAUCUAAGGUUUCUUGAGGAAGGUUCGUCCGCUCAAGGUAAGCCGGGAGCUAAGGCGAGGCCGAGAGGCGUAGUCGAUGCACAUACGGUAAAGAUUCCGUAGCCACCGAAGUCGUUAAAUACAGGGACACAGGAACAUAGCCUAACCCCACCGUUGGUUGAGUGGGGCGUAAGGGAGCGAAAAAUAGUAGCGAAGUAGGUGAUUGUACACUGGCGAGAAAAGCUGUAUGUAUUGAUAAGGUGCCCGUACCGCAAACCGACACAGGUAGAUGAGGAGAGAAUCCUAAGACCAGCGGGAGAAGUGUUGUUAAGGAACUCGGCAAAAUGACCCCGUAACUUCGGGAUAAGGGGAGCCUACGCGAGUAGGCCGCAGAGAAUAGUCUCAAGCGACUGUUUAGCAAAAACACAGGUCUAUGCUAAAUCGAAAGAUGAUGUAUAUGGGCUGACGCCUGCCCGGUGCUGGAAGGUUAAGGGGAAGUGUUAGAGCAAUCGAAGCACUGAACUUAAGCCCCAGUAAACGGCGGCCGUAACUAUAACGGUCCUAAGGUAGCGAAAUUCCUUGUCAGGUAAGUUCUGACCCGCACGAAUGGCGUAACGACUUGAGAGCUGUCUCAACAACAUACCCGGCGAAAUUGAAGUACUGGUAAAGAUGCCAGUUACCCGUGAUAAGACGGAAAGACCCCAUGGAGCUUUACUGUAACUUGAUAUUGAAUUUUUGUAUUACAUGUACAGGAUAGGUGGGAGACAGAGAACUAAUGCCGCCAGGUGUUAGGGAGUCGAUGUUGGGAUACCACUCUUGUAAUAUGAAGGUUCUAACCUGCACCCGUGAAUCCGGGUGGGGGACACUGUCAGGUGGACAGUUUGACUGGGGCGGUCGCCUCCUAAAAGGUAACGGAGGCGUUCAAAGGUUGGUUCAGCACGGACGGAAAUCGUGCAACGAGUGCAAACGCAUAAACCAGCCUAACUGCGAGACCGACAAGUCGAGCAGUAACGAAAGUUGGAGUUAGUGAUCCGGCGGUA